GACGAACGCUGGCGGCAUGCCUAAUACAUGCAAGUCGAGCGAACAGAUGAAGUGCUUGCACUUCUGACGUUAGCGGCGAACGGGUGAGUAACACGUAAGGAAUCUACCUAUAAGCGGGGGAUAACAUCCGGAAACGGGUGCUCAUACCGCAUAAUAUCUUCUUCCGCAUGGAAGAAGAUUAAAAGACGGCUCUGCUGUCCCUUAUAGAUGACAUUGCGGUGCAUGAGUUAGUUGGUGGGGUAAUGGCCUACCGAGACGAUGAGGCAUAGCCGACCUGAGAGGGUGAGCGGCCACAUUGGGACUGAGACACGGCCCAAACACCUACGGGAGGCAGCAGUAGGGAAUCUUCCGCAAUGGGCGAAAGCCUGACGGAGCAAUGCCGCGUGAGUGAAGAAGGCCUUCGGGUCGUAAAACUCUGUUAUAAGAGAAGAACAAAUUGUAGAGUAACUGCUACAGUCUUGACGGUAUCUUAUCAGAAAGCCACGGCUAACUACGUGCCAGCCGCCGCAGUAA
rnacentral:rRNA from 1 species